rnacentral:lncRNA from 1 species
AAUACUUGCACAACCAACUUUACAAGGUCCUUGUGAGGAAAAGUACUUUAUAAACCUAAUUGGGAAUAAUAAAAUAUUUCUGGACCUGUAUCCCUUUGGAGAAACCCUUCACCUUUUGAAAACAUCUAAGGAAGUUGGAGAACAGAAUUAUUUACUUCCACACUUGAAGAGAAGAGCCAAUUCACAGAAGCACAAAGAAGAGGGAGAGCAGUAGGAGAAGGGAUUUGAUACAUCCAAAGAUCCAUUUAAAGAGGGGAUUUGCCUUCUGUGGAGAGGAAAGUGUGAAGAGAUCAAGCAAGAAAGGAAGAAGAAAGGCAAAAUCCUCACUCUGGGAUAGAUUUAUUUCUCAUCUGGGCUGUUUUAUCACCAUGCCUGAGAGCCACCCAAAUCCCAGAAGACAAUUGCCCCUGUAGACCACGUGAGUUAGCAGAGCUGACUUCUUCAGACCAUGGUUGGGAGAGUGAAGAGUUUGGGUGCUUCUUUUUUCUUUCUUUCAGCCCUAUAAACAUUUGAGCUAUUUGUGAGUGUUAUUUCCCCCUUUAGGACAAUGUGCUCCAGUUUGGGUUCUUUUUGCUUUGUUUACUCAAUAAUUGGUACAGCAAGAGGGAUGCACCUGUUCCACGGGCCCAUUAGACACAGAAUUGCUUCUCUCCGGAGCUGAGGCUGAGGCAUUCAGGCAAACCAAUCCAUCAGUUGGCAUUCAAAUUCACACUGCAGUGGAAAAGAGAGAAGGUUGGGGGAAGAUCAAGAUGCAAUCUGCCAGUC